UCACAUCAAAAACCAAACAAAAAUACAAAACCCAAAAGGAAUGAAGCAGUAAUGACACGCCUUAGAAAUUACCUGAAUGAAUCUUCUAGAACCAUGGACUAUCUAUAUUUCCCCAAACUCAAACACUCUCUCUUUUUUCAUCCCCCACCCCCCCGCCCCCCGUGUCUGGUUUAGAGGCUUCUCUGCAUCCAAGAGCAUUCCAGACAAAUCUCUAGUAACUCUAAAAUUUGAAAGGAUUUGCCCCACUGGAAGUGAUCUAAGGGCAGAAAGUGUAUGUACCCUUCCUUUAUCUUUUAUUCCCCUGCUUUGGCUCACUUAGUAGGCAUUCAAGUCAUGGCUGUUGCCCUAAAUCAAACCACAAAAUCAACAUUCCAGAAGAGCUCUGAGAAAAUAGACUGCCAACAUACCAUGGAGUUGAUCUGUACUACAGUUAAGUUUGAGUGCUUCAUCCAAGAAUUUACCCCAUGCAUCUUUCCUCUAAGCUCUAAUUUAUGCUCCUUCCUCCUCUCAGUAUAUUUCUUCCCAAACAUUGUCCACUGAAAUCCCAUCUACCUUCAAGGUCUCCAUCAGAUUACCUGUUCUCAAUGAACAUAUUUCUUAUUUUCCAACUAGAUAUAAUUCCUCUGUUUUUAACUCAUGGAUUUAUUUUUGUUCUUAUGAAUUUAAUAAGUUAAGUUUAGGCUCUCAUUUAUAUAUUUAUCUCCCUAAAUAUCUUUCUGCUUUUGUACUGGCUAUUAAGCUUUUGUACAUACCGAGUACUUUAUAAAUUGUUCUUUAAUUAAAUGCAAUUAAUCUAGGGCAAAACCAAUUUUUAGUAAUGUUAUGUCUUUAAUAGAUUAUAAAUAUUACAUUACAUAGAUCAUAACUAUAAAAAUGUUUUCUUUUAAAAAAUCGAGCUCUAUGAACAGAUUACAAAAAUAUAUAUAUGGAUUUUCACAGUAUUUAAUUGUAUUAAAUGUAAAUAAGAGGAUACAACUAACUAAACCAAAUCUUGUGAUUCUUGAUUCAGAUUCAAUUAAGAUUUUAUAAUAAACAAUUUGAUCUGGUACUUUUAGACAUUUUCUCUAUAUGGUGAACCAAUUUAAAAGAAUAAACUGCACUAAUCUUAAACUGGUUUAAAUAUGAGAAUAAAAACUAUUCAUAUUAAUCUAUUUUAAAUAUUAAAGCAGACUCUUCUACUUGAAAAUAUAUAUGCAUCAGAAAGAUCUGUAAUUCAGACUCCUCAAUUAACCAUUGAUCCAUUUUUGUUAAGUUUUAUGUGCUCCUUUAAUUUGAUUUUUUCACUGAUUUUGUAAUUAAAUAAAUUCAAGCUACUAGAAUCCUUAUCAUUCAUUUUCUCUCUUACAAGAUAAUUAAGUAUUGGGUUUUAAUCCCAUCAGGAGAGGGUUCUGAUAAUGUUCUUCCCCCUGUGGGUCCCACCCUUGUAGCCCCAGGGGGUGAAGCCUGCCAGGUUUCCAAAAGGAGAUAAAGUUUGGAGUGACUUCUCCACCUAAGGACCAGGACCAGGAAUCUGCCCCUUCCUUGGCCUCCCCUAGGAGUUGUCAUAUGACAAGUCAUUCCCAUCCAACCAUAAAGCAUUUGUUGACAAUAAGUAGAUGGUGUGUAUUUCAGUGUCUUCACAGAUGAGCUACAAGUUCUAUCAAAUCAUGCCUGUUGAGGAUUACUUUCUUGAAAUUGAACAUGGAAAUAUGUACUUAAGCCUUCAGCUAGGUCUGAGGGAGGAAGCCUUCAGUCAAGGCAAGUGCAAAUAUGCUCUCCUGGGCCAGAGUCUCCAAGAGGCCAGAUAAGGGGAUAUUCUGAGAGAGGAAGUUCCUAAAAACCAAGAAGUAAGGCCCUGUGGACAAAGGAAGAGGAAAGCAUUAUAGUCUCCGCUUACUUUCCAGCCAUUUUGUCACCAAGAGGCCUGAGCAUUUAUGAUUUCAAAGUCAUGGAAAGUCUAAGGAGUUCCCAUUGUGAUUCAGUGGCAAUGAACCUGAUUAGUGUCCAUGAGGAUGUGGGUUUGAUCCCUGGCCUCAGUUCAGUGGGUUAAGUGUGAGCUGCAGUGUAGGUUGCAGACACACCUCAGAUCUGGCAUUGCUGUGGCUGUGGCUAUGGCUGGCAGCUACAUCUCCAAUUCGACCCCUAGCCUGGGAAUUUCCAUGUAAAUAAACAUACAGUUUCAGUUCCUUCACUUUCCUUCCUAAAGAACCUUGUCUUUUUUUUUGGUGAAAUCCACUUCCCUUGCAC
rnacentral:lncRNA from 1 species